UGGCCGGUGGGGGAGGCGGCGCUGCUGCUGCUGCUGCUGCUGAGGUCUGUGUUAUAAUUUCACAAUGUUUGGAAAUUUAUUUGAUGAAGACUUCUCCUUUUUGUCAAACACUCAAUGUGGGAAGCAAAAGUCAAAACACAAAGAUGCUGAGCUGCUUGUUCCUAGAGAAAGCACCAAUUUAAGUGGAAUAAAAAAUCAGGGUGGAACCUGUUACCUUAAUUCACUUCUUCAGACUCUACUAUUCACACCAGAAUUUAGAGAAGCACUGUUUUCUAUAGGCCCUGAAGAACUUGGUUCUUUGGAAGACAACAGUAAGCCUGAAUCAAAGGUAUUCAAUUCUAUACUUCAGUCAGCUCAAAAGUUUAUGAUGUUCACUAUGUUAGCUUGGGCCACUCAUUGACAGCCUAAACUACCUCACAGGAUCAUCAUGAGGAUAAAAUGGGGAGAAGUAUGUAUGCCACCUUGAUCUCUUUGGAGGAAAGGUGGGGUAUAAAUGCAAUAAAUAAGUAAAAUAUUUAUGAAGAUGAUGGAUAAUGUAUUUAUAAUGCAAAGCUGGGGAUGCACACAUUACUUCAUGUGCACGUAUAAUCUACAAAGCAGGGAUUUUCCUAAAUAAGUUCUGGUGCAGUGCUUUCAGAAUACACACAGGUCCUGUUGUGCAAACACUCAUUACACAAACCUUUAAGUUAUUUGCACAUGAAGAAUUUCUACCCUAACAUCACUGCAUGAACAUCUACUUUAGU